UGCAGUCGAGCGGUAGCACAGGGAGCUUGCUCCUGGGUGACGAGCGGCGGACGGGUGAGUAAUGUCUGGGAAACUGCCUGAUGGAGGGGGAUAACUACUGGAAACGGUAGCUAAUACCGCAUAAUGUCUACGGACCAAAGUGGGGGACCUUCGGGCCUCAUGCCAUCACAUGUGCCCACAUGGGAUUAUCUAUUAGGUGGGGUAAUGGGUCACCUAUGCGACAAUCCCUAUCUGGGCUGAGAGGAUGACCACCCACACUGGAACUGAGACACGGUCCACACUCCUACGGGAGGCAGCAGUGGGGAAUAUUGCGCAAUGGGCGCAAGCCUGAUGCAGCCAUGCCGCGUGUGUGAAAAAAGCCUUCGGGUUGUAAAGCACUUUCACCGAGGAGGAAGGGUUCUGUGUUAAUAGCACUGUGCAUUGACGUUACUCGCAGAAAAAACACCGGCUAACUCCGUGCCACCAGCCGCGGUAAUACGGAGGGUGCAAGCGUUAAUCGGAAUUACUGGGCGUAAAGCGCACGCAGGCGGUUUGUUAAGUCACAUGUGAAAUCCCCGCGCUUAACGUGGGAACUGCGUUUGAAACUGUGAAGCUAUAGUCUUGUAUAGGGGGGUAUAAUUCCAGGUGUAGCGGUGAGAUGCGUAUAGAUCU
rnacentral:rRNA from 1 species